rnacentral:rRNA from 1 species
AGUGAACGCUGGCGGUAGGCCUAACACAUGCAAGUCGAACGGCAGCACAGUAAGAGCUUGCUCUUACGGGUGGCGAGUGGCGGACGGGUGAGGAAUACAUCGGAAUCUACUUUUUCGUGGGGGAUAACGUAGGGAAACUUACGCUAAUACCGCAUACGACCUACGGGUGAAAGCAGUGGAUCUUCGGACCUUGCGCGAUUGAAUGAGCCGAUGUCUGAUUAGCUAGUUGGCGGGGUAAAGGCCCACCAAGGCGACGAUCCGUAGCUGGUCUGAGAGGAUGAUCAGCCACACUGGAACUGAGACACGGUCCAGACUCCUACGGGAGGCAGCAGUGGGGAAUAUUGGACAAUGGGCGCAAGCCUGAUCCAGCCAUACCGCGUGGGUGAAGAAGGCCUUCGGGUUGUAAAGCCCUUUUGUUGGGAAAGAAAAGCAGCAGGUUAAUACCCCGCUGUUCUGACGGUACCCAAAGAAUAAGCACCGGCUAACUUCGUG